CAUUGACGUGAUCAUGCAAGUGACAUUUUUGUACUUUUGUCUUUAAUUCUAUCACAAUAUAGAAACGCUUCUAAAUCCAUACAGGAUAGCGCGACUGCGACACCAUACGUACUUCAGAAAAUAUUGCGGUAAUAAACAUGCGUUUCGACUAGUAUUCCCAGUGUCCAACUGUUACGCUAUCAUCCAUGAUUAUAACCAAUGCACCAAUUUCAAGAGUGCCCUUUUGAUUCCGAACUUAAAGAUUACGAAGGCGCCACCUUUGUUGGAGAUAGGAGAAGAGAGUGGAGUGGGCACCCUAGAAUUCAAAAUUGCCUGUAUUUGAACGAGGACUGUAGUGAAUUCUUCAUACGUAAGCGCAGAGACGUAGCGAAAACAUCGGCAAUGAGGGGGGAAGAAGUAUCAAAUAUGCCAACUUGCACUGGUACUGGCUAAAUUAUGAUCUGACUCUUGGG